rnacentral:rRNA from 1 species
GAUGAACGCUGGCGGCGCGCCUAACACAUGCAAGUCGAACGGCACCCACCCUCGGGUGGAAGCGAGUGGCGAACGGCUGAGUAACACGUGGAGAACCUGCCCCCUCCCCCGGGAUAGCCGCCCGAAAGGACGGGUAAUACCGGAUACCCCGGGGUGCCGCAUGGCACCCCGGCUAAAGCCCCGACGGGAGGGGAUGGCUCCGCGGCCCAUCAGGUAGACGGCGGGGUGACGGCCCACCGUGCCGACAACGGGUAGCCGGGUUGAGAGACCGACCGGCCAGAUUGGGACUGAGACACGGCCCAGACUCCUACGGGAGGCAGCAGUGGGGAAUCUUGCGCAAUGGGGGGAACCCUGACGCAGCGACGCCGCGUGCGGGACGGAGGCCUUCGGGUCGUAAACCGCUUUCAGCAGGGAAGAGUCAAGACUGUACCUGCAGAAGAAGCCCCGGCU